rnacentral:rRNA from 2 species
AGAUUAAGUUAUUAAGGGCGCACGGUGGAUGCCUUGGCACUAGAAGCCGAUGAAGGACGUUACUAA